ACUGUGAAACUGCGAAUGGCUCAUUAAAUCAGUUAUGAUUUCUUUGAUGGUACCUUGCUACUUGGAUACCCGUAGUAAUUCUAGAGCUAAUACAUGCAGGACUGCCCGACUUCGGAAGGGCUGUAUUUAUUAGAUAAGAAACCAUCUCGGGUCCGCCCGGUUGUGUGCUGAGUCAUAAUAACUGCUCGAAUCGCACGGCUCUACGCCGGCGAUGGUUCAUUCAAAUUUCUGCCCUAUCAGCUUUCGAUGGUAGGAUAGAGGCCUACCAUGGCGUUAACGGGUAACGGAGAAUUAGGGUUCGAUUCCGGAGAGGGAGCCUGAGAAAUGGCUACCACAUCCAAGGAAGGCAGCAGGCGCGUAAAUUGCCCGAAUCCUGACACAGGGAGGUAGUGACAAGAAAUAACAAUACAGGGCUACUUCUAGUCUUGUAAUUGGAAUGAGUACAACUUACAUCUCUUCACGAGGAUCAAUUGGAGGGCAAGUCUGGUGCCAGCAGCCGCGGUAAUUCCAGCUCCAAUAGCGUAUAUUAAAGUUGUUGCAGUUAAAAAGCUCGUAGUCGGAUUUCGGGUCGGGCCGAGCGGUCUGCCGAUGGGUAUGCACUGUUUGGCGCGGCCUUCUUUCCGGAGACCGCGGCUACUCUUAACUGAGCGGGCGUGGGAGACGGAUCGUUUACUUUGAAAAAAUCAGAGUGUUUCAAGCAGGCAGCUCGCUCUUGCAUGGAUUAGCAUGGGAUAAUCGAAUAGGACUCUGGUGCUAUUUUGUUGGUUUCGAACACCGGAGUAAUGAUUAACA
rnacentral:rRNA from 1 species